rnacentral:rRNA from 1 species
AGUUUGAUCCUUUUUCAGGACCAACGCUGGCGGCGUGCCUAAUACAUGCAAGUCGAGCGCGGGAAGCUUGCGGAAUCCUUCGGGAGGAAGUGAGUGGACCGAGCGGCGGACGGGUGAGUAACACGUGGGCAACCUGCCCGUAAGACGGGGAUAACCCCGGGAAACCGGGGCUAAUACCGGAUAGGUGACCUUUCUGCAUGGAGGGGUCAUGAAAGGCGGCGGAAGCCGUCGCUUACGGAGGGGCCCGCGGCGCAUUAGCUAGUUGGUGAGGGAAGGGCUCACCAAGGCGACGAUGCGUAGCCGGCCUGAGAGGGUGAACGGCCACACUGGGACUGAGACACGGCCCAGACUCCUACGGGAGGCAGCAGUAGGGAAUCUUCCGCAAUGGACGGAAGUCUGACGGAGCAACGCCGCGUGAGUGAGGAAGGCCUUCGGGUCGUAAAGCUCUGUUGUUCGUGAAGAAGGGGUUGGCCAAGAAAUGGGCCGACAUUGACGGUAGCGAACCAGAAAGCCCCGGCUAACUUACUGCCAGCAGUCGCGGUAACUCGUAGGGGGCCAAGCGUUGUCCGGAAUGAUUGGGCGUAAAGGGCGCGCAGGCGGCCUCUUAAGUCUGAUGUGAAAGCCCACGGCUCAACCGUGGAGGGACAUUGGAAACUGGGGGGCUUGAGUGCAGGAGAGGGGAGUGGAAUUCCACGUGUAGCGGUGAAAUGCGUAGAGAUGUGGAGGAACACCAGUGGCGAAGGCGGCUCUCUGGCCUGUGACUGACGCUGAGGCGCGAAAGCGUGGGG